GUUGAUUGUGCAGUUACUAUGAGACUCAGUUCACUGAUGGAGAAACUAAGAGAGUACAGUUAAUUAUGAUAAUUCCCUGUAUUUAACAUUUGGAUUUGUUUGCUUUGUGUUUUUUGUUGUGUUUGUUUGUUUUGAGAUGGAGUCUCACUCUGUCACCCUGGCUGGAGUGCAGUGGUAUGAUCUCGGCUCACUGCAACCUCUGCCUCCCGGAUUCAAGUGAUUCUCCUGCCUCAGCCUUCUGAGUAGCUGGGAUUACAGACAUGUGCCACCACAACCGGCUAAUUAUUUGUAUUUUUUUUGUAGAGACAGGGUUUCUCCAUGUUGCUCAGGCUGGUCUCGAACUCCUGUCCUCAAGUAAUCCACCUGCCUCGGCCUCUCAAAGUGCUGGGAUUACAGCCGUGAGCCACUGCGCCUGGCCUGACAUUUGAACCUUGUCUUCCCCAAUGCAGCAU
rnacentral:lncRNA from 1 species